CUCUGCUGGGCCUCGCCUCCCCACUGUCUGCACUCGGAGGCUGGUUUGUUAUGGCAUGAAAAAUGGCUCCGUGGAAUAAAGAUGUUUCCCCUCUGAUGAGCAUAUUUGCAGAAGGAGGAGGACUGACACCAGCCACACGUGUGUCUGCUGCUGACAAACGUGCUCACGCCUUGGAGGGCGGGGCCAGGCAGGACGGAGCCGCCCAUGAUAGGCGGACACCUCCUGGUAACAUUUUCUUCUCUAUCCCUCACACCUGCCCUCUUCAUCACUCAAGGAGCCCUGCUUCUGAAGGUCCCGAGUGGGAAACGCACUAAUGUGCAAAGCACCAUCCUUGUCCUCUUCCAUCCAAUUCCCUGGUGAGUGGGAGAGCUUUCCUCCCUAGGGGCAGACACCAAUUUCACACUUGGAGUUGAGCUUCCUGGCUUUUCUGAGGGCAGUCACAUAAUUAAUUCUUAGAAUUGCCAAAUUAUAUUUGACACUUAAUUUAAAACUCAAGGUUCCAUAAUGCAAAUCUUCUCCUGGCAAGAAGGGUGACAUGCACAUUGAACAUAUAGGCAACCUGACAGGUUGGAGGGGCAGUUCUGUGUAACUCCCAGAGAGGGAAGGGAGCUGAUUUUAUUGAACACCUACUUUAUAUCCAGUGAUUUCCAUUGAUUAGCUCACUUCCUUCCCACAACCCUAUGAGGCAAGUACUGUUACUGCAUCCAUUGUGCAGACGAGGACACCAAGACCCAACACAACUAAUUGACCCAAGGUCAUCCUGUUAGGGAAGAGGCCAAGCUGGGAUUCAUGGUCUUGAGAUCUUGAGAGACCCUUACGUCUUUAUGCGAUUCAAUUCCUCCUUCAAGGAUGGAAGCAGGAAUCCCCCAAAAUGGAAACCUUGGCUGCUCCAUCAGGGUGGGACUCAGAGGCAGCCUCCAGCUGCACAUCACAGAAUGCCUAGCUACAGCAGCUUACAUGGUGUAGGUUACUUUUUCCACAUAACAAGAAACCCAGGGGCAGGGCCGUCCAGGGCUGGUGCAGCACAAUGAUGACUUCAAGAACCCAGACUCUUUCUAUCUUCCUGCUUCACCAUCCUUGCAUUCUAACUUCUUGCAUUUUGGUUGUAAAGUGACCUCUGCAACACCAAGCAUCAUAUCUUCAGUCCAGGAAGGAAAGAGGUUUUAGAGAAAAGGGAUAAAAGGAAUUCCCCCACCCAAGGCUUUGUCUUUUUAUUUGGGAAGAGGACCGUUGCCUAUGAUUGGCCAGAUCCCAUAUCUCUCACCUUCUCCCCACCCAUAUCAGUCAUUGGCCAAGGGAAUGAGUUGUCAUGACUUGUUUAGACCAAU
rnacentral:lncRNA from 1 species